GACGAACGCUGGCGGCGUGCCUAACACAUGCAAGUCGAGCGGUCCGGCACUCAACUAAGUGCUUACUUAAGGGGAAGGAAGUAUAGUAGAAGAAGAAGGUAAUAAAAGUGGUGCAAAGUAAGGUAAGCACGGAGUUGAGUGCCGGAUAGCGGCGGACGGGUGAGUAACGCGUGGGCAACCUACCCUUAAGACCGGGAUAACACCUCGAAAGGGGUGCUAAUACUGGAUAAGCUCCUUGUAGGGCAUCCUAUGGGGAGGGAAGGUAGCGGAAGCUACCGCUUAAGGAUGGGCCCGCGUCCCAUCAGCUAGUUGGUAGGGUAACGGCCUACCAAGGCGACGACGGGUAGCCGGCCUGAGAGGGUGGUCGGCCACACUGGGACUGAGACACGGCCCAGACUCCUACGGGAGGCAGCAGUGGGGAAUCUUGCGCAAUGGGCGAAAGCCUGACGCAGCGACGCCGCGUGAGCGAAGAAGGCC
rnacentral:rRNA from 1 species